UACGUAGGGGGCAAGCGUUGUCCGGAUUUAUUGGGCGUAAAGAGCUCGUAGGCGGCUUGGCAAGUCGGGUGUGAAAACUUCAGGCUCAACCUGGAGCGGCCACUCGAUACUGCCAUGGCUUGAGUCCGGUAGGGGACCACGGAAUUCCUGGUGUAGCGGUGAAAUGCGCAGAUAUCAGGAGGAACACCGGUGGCGAAGGCGGUGGUCUGGGCCGGAACUGACGCUGAGGAGCGAAAGCGUGGGGAGCGAACAGG
rnacentral:rRNA from 1 species